rnacentral:rRNA from 1 species
ACUCCUACGGGUGGCUGCAGUGGGAAUAUUGGACAAUGGGCGAAAGCCUGAUCCAGCCAUGCCGCGUGUGUGAAGAAGGCCUUUUGGUUGUAAAGCACUUUAAGUGGGGAGGAAAAGCUUGUGGUUAAUACCCAUAAGCCCUGACGUUACCCACAGAAUAAGCACCGGCUAACUCUGUGCCAGCAGCCGCGGUAAUACAGAGGGUGCAAGCGUUAAUCGGAAUUACUGGGCGUAAAGCGAGCGUAGGUGGUCAUUUAAGUCAGAUGUGAAAGCCCCGGGCUUAACCUGGGAACUGCACCUGAUACUGGGUGACUAGAGUAGGUGAGAGGGAAGUAGAAUUCCAGGUGUAGCGGUGAAAUGCGUAGAGAUCUGGAGGAAUACCGAUGGCGAAGGCAGCUUCCUGGCAUCAUACUGACACUGAGGUUCGAAAGCGUGGGUAGCAAACAGGAUUAGAUACCCUGGUAGUCCACGCCGUAAACGAUGUCUACCAGUCGUUGGGUCUCUUGAAGACUUAGUGACGCAGUUAACGCAAUAAGUAGACCGCCUGGGGAGUACGGCCGCAAGGUUAAAACUCAAAUGAAUUGACGGGGGCCCGCACAAGCGGUGGAGCAUGUGGUUUAAUUCGAUGCAACGCGAAGAACCUUACCUGGUCUUGACAUAGUGAGAAUCCUGCAGAGAUGCGGGAGUGCCUUCGGGAAUUCACAUACAGGUGAUGCAUGGUUGUCGUCAGCUCGU